AAAUGUUUGAGAAAUGUGUUCUGCUUCCAGCAGCCACCCCGCGCUCCCGCCCGCGCGCCACUGGCGGCUCCACCCCAGGGAGGGGCGGGGCGGAGCAGGUGACUCCACCCCGGGAGGGGCGGGGCCGGCGCGCCAGCGUGUCCCGGUGCGGCGGAGCGGGCGGGCGAUGGCGGCGGCCGCGGAGCUGCGGGCGGCGCUGGGGCAGCGGCUGCGGGACUUGGGCAUCGCCACGGUCACCGCCGAGCACCCCGAGGUGUUCACCGUCGAAGAAAUGAUGCCCCACGUCCAACACAUGAAGGGAGGUCAAGUAGAUUAAAUUCACUUGUCUAUUGCUAGGCAUCGAUUUUUUUAAGAGAAAAAACCCCACAACCCAGGCUUACCCCUUUGUUUUUUCAAUUGUGUAGGUUUAUAUUGUAUCAUCUGGUUAAAAAAAAAAAUAUAUACCGUCUUCAGGUUAUUAAACAAUAUUCUUAAAAAGAUGUGUUUGCAAUCUGCCACUAGGUAACCAGAAAAGGCGUUAUUUGAAUAAUGUUAUCCUGUUUAUUAAUAAAAUGGAUAAAAAUGGGA